rnacentral:rRNA from 1 species
UACGAAGGGGGCCAGCGUUGCUCGGAAUCACUGGGCGUAAAGGGUGCGUAGGCGGGUCUUUAAGUCAGGGGUGAAAUCCUGGAGCUCAACUCCAGAACUGCCUUUGAUACUGAAGAUCUUGAGUCCGGAAGAGGUGAGUGGAACUGCGAGUGUAGAGGUGAAAUUCGUAGAUAUUCGCAAGAACACCAGUGGCGAAGGCGGCUCACUGGUCCGGUACUGACGCUGAGGCACGAAAGCGUGGGGAGCAAACAGG